rnacentral:lncRNA from 1 species
CACCCACAAAAAAACAUGUAUUAAAAUACUAACCCCUAAUGUGACGGUGUUAGAAGUGAGACCUUUGGGUGGUGAUGAUGUUGUGAGGGCAAAGCACUCAUGAAUGAGAUUAGUGACCUCAUAAAAGCAGCCCCAGAGAGCUGCCUUGCCUUUCCUGCCAGGUGAGUACACAGUGAGAAGAUGGCCAACUAUAAGCCAGGAAACAGGCCUCCAUCAACAAGGAAUCUGCCGGCAACUUGAUCUUGGACUUCCCAGCCUCCAGGAUUGUGAGAAGAAGAAAAAUAUGUUGCAAACAUGGAGGAAAGAUGAUGGCCUCCUUCAACAGAACUAUGAGUUGUCCAAGAUUUCACAAAGUUCUUCAAGCAUGGCAUUUGAUGAUGAGCCCUAAGAUGACUUGAGCCUCACGUCAACUCUCUUUGCUACACGCCCCUCUUUGGAGACCACCACUUCAUGCAAUGGGGAGUGACAUUAGGGCUGAACUUUAAGAAAGAGAACUCUGACAGUAAUGAGAAGACAGAAAAAGAGAAUGACCAGAUAUCCAAAAUGGGAUCGUAGCAUCGAACAUGAGAAGGCCAUGCAUAAGAUGGGGUAGGUCCAAUCAACAAAAUUUGAAAAAAGGUCAGCUUUGGAGUGGUCUGAAAAGGGAGACAAAGGAGGAGACAGAAUUCUGGAUGAUUUCACGGUAACAAUCCUGAGUGACUUGGAGGAUAUAAUAGUAUUAACUAAAAAGGAAAAUGCACAAGACAGCAAUUUGAGGGAAGGACAUUUAGAUGAAGAGAUCCUUGAGAAAUACAUGCAUUUAAAAGACAAGUGGGAGAGAAACUAAUGAAGGAGCUGAAAAUGGCCAAUGACACUGGAAAAGAACGACGACAGUAAAGUGUCCUAGUAGCCAAGGGAAGAGAGAAAGCACUUUUUAAAGGAUGAGAUGAUCACUUGUGUCAACUUCUGUCAAUAAUUAAAGGAGACAAGGGACAAGAUGACAUCCGUGGAUAUGGCAAAUAGCCAAUAAUAAUGAAAGCUAGCAUCACAUCUGCUGCAUGCUUGUCACAUGCCAGGCACACCACUUCAAGAGUUGUACAAUUUACAAUGUGGACGUGGAGGAAGAAAACUAAAGAAGGGCAACAGAGAGAGCCUUGCACCAAGACCACAACCACUCCAGGGGGUGGGAUUAUAUCCAUUCCACACAGGAGGAAUCGGAAGCUUUGAGAGCUGACGUAAAACUGGUAAACGGUGAAACCAGGAUUCAAACCCAAUUCUACCUGGCUGCCAAAACCACACAUUGCUUUCCCCAGUUCACAGGCUAUCACAGCAUCAGCAGCAAUCAAGGUAGAAAACCUAAUCGAAUAUCACAAAAAUAGGAACCCAUCUGUGAUGAGAAAACUUACAGAUCUCGGACUGCAAACUGAAAAUGCCUACAGGGCCAAGGCAAGUAAUAUAAAAUGAAGGGAAUUCAACGGGACUGGGAACAGGAGACCAUGUGUAUGUAUCAUCUACGGAGGCAGCUGCUGCUUCACUUCAUGCAGGAAUGUGGGCCUGGUGUUGCCAGAUUUUGUGCUUCUUUUCAAGAGACACUGGAAAUAAUCUUAUUAUUUCAUACUGACAAUUAAUUUUUAAAAAUUAAACACACCACUGAUCAAAC